GAUGAACGCUGGCGGCGUGCCUAAUACAUGCAAGUCGAACGCUGAAGGAGGAGCUUGCUCUUCUGGAUGAGUUGCGAACGGGUGAGUGACGCGUAGGUAACCUGCCUGGUAGCGGGGUAUGACUAUUGGAAACGAUAGCUAAUACCGCAUGACAACAGUUAUUGCAUGAUAACUGUUUAAACGUGGCAACUGCUCCACUACCAGAUGGACCUGUGUUGUAUUAGCUAGUUGGGGGGGUAACGGCUCACCAAGGCGACGAUCCAUAGCCGGCCUGAGAGGGGGACCGGCAACACUGGACCUGGGACACGGUCAAGACUCUUCCGGGAGCAAGAAGAGGGGAACAUUGGACAAUGGGGGAAAGCCUGAUGCAGCAAGACGGCGUGGGUGAGGAAGGCCUUCGGGUUGUAAAGCCCUUUUGUUGGGAAAGAAAAGUGGCAGGUUAAUAAGCUGAUGUUCUGACGGUACCUAACGAAUAAGCAACGGCUAACUUCGUG
rnacentral:rRNA from 1 species